rnacentral:rRNA from 1 species
CAGCCGCCGCGGUAAUACGUAGGUGGCAAGCGUUGUCCGGAAUUAUUGGGCGUAAAGCGCGCGCAGGCGGUCCUUUAAGUCUGAUGUGAAAUCUUGCGGCUCAACCGCAAGCGGCCAUUGGAAACUGGGGGACUUGAGUGCAGGAGAGGGAAGUGGAAUUCCACGUGUAGCGGUGAAAUGCGUAGAGAUGUGGAGGAACACCAGUGGCGAAGGCGGCUGCCUGGCCUGUAACUGACGCUGAGGCGCGAAAGCGUGGGGAGCAAACAGGAUUAGAUACCCUGGUAGUCCACGCCGUAAACGAUGAGUGCUAAGUGUUAGGGGGUUUCCGCCCCUUAGUGCUGCAGCUAACGCAUUAAGCACUCCGCCUGGGGAGUACGGCCGCAAGGCUGAAACUUAAAGGAAUUGGCGGG